rnacentral:tRNA from 1 species
GUGGGUGAGCUGCCCGCUGCUUUGCAAGCAGGAGGUCGCCGGUUCGAUCCCGGCUGGCUCCA